GCAUUUUAAUACAUUUUCUUCUGCACAAUUACACCACUGAGUGAUAUGGCAGGGAGAGAUUAGGCUGCUGCUAAUUUUGGAUACUGGGUGGUGAAGCGGCAAGGGGGUCUCACCGGUUAUGGGGUCAGAAAAAGUAUGCUGGAGCAUGUAAGCCCGCUCCUCAGCUCUCCCAGCACCGUGAAGCAGCAACCGUGUCAUCAGCUGAGCUCCCUACACCCUCUUUUCUUCAGGUGAGAACUGGCUGAGGGACCCUGUUCAUUCCACAGAGCAGAAAAGCCAAGGCACCAAGGCAGGAAAAGCAGCAGCCUGGAAACUGGGGCCAAAACAGGAGGGCCUGGAGAAGGACUUCCAAGCUACUUGUCAGAUCUGGAAGAAGGUGGAACAGAGAGAGAGGUGGGCAGCCUUCCCUCAGCACUCCCACCCGAACCUCCCUACGCGCGAGGUUGAGUGUGAGAAACAGAACUGUCUAGAGUCAGGAGAGAAACAGAAGGACUCCAGAAGGCCGUGGUCCUCAGAACGGAAUCCCAAGAGCCCCUGACAGAUGUUCAAGGAUUGAUGGAGUCUCUGCGCCCCCUGUCCCAGCCAGUGCAGGGGAUGCAGAGCAGACGCCCCUGAGUCAGCUGAGAAACAGGUGUAAGCUCCUCUCCUGGGACCAGGUGCAGAAGUAGGAGGGAAGACAGGAGAGCAGAGCUGGAGGGGAUUUUCCCAGGGAGGCUUCGGGAGGAAGGGAGCAGGGCAGGAGGAUAGAGCUGGCAGGCAGACAGGGGCAGCAGAGCACCCACGUCAGUCCUUCCUGCCCUGCAGCAGCUGGAGAUCACCGUGCUUUCUACCUUCUGGGGGCUGUGGGAGGACAGAACAAGAACCAGGGCGCCAUCGACACAUGAGCACCAUUGGCAGCAGCUGAGUAGCCCCAAAUCAGGCCCAGGGGAGAGUGUGUGAGCUGGCUGGUCCCAUCUAGAUGUGCUCCCACAGCUGCCUGCCUCUCUAUGGGGAUGCCAGGCUGGAACACCUCUGUCCUGCGUCCCGUCCACCCACGCAGGACCCUGUCCUAUCCCAUGGUUGCAAAGUCCUUUGGAAAAGCAAAUAGAGCUGGGAAAUGAGGCCGUGCGGGACAGGUCAGAAGCGCAGUCGAGGCUGCUUGGCUCCUGUCGAGGUUAUCCACCCUCCGCCCAGUCUCUGCCUGAAGAUUUGGAUACCUGGGCUCCUGAUACCACCAGAUCCCAGUUGGGGGCAGUUUCAGGAACACGCAGCUUUGCUCUGCCAGAAGCUUCUGCGGCUAUUGAGAUAUCUCUUUGGAAGGGGAGGAAUGUUUCAAAUGUGCCCCUGGGGACAGAGGCAGGCCCUUAGAGGCUGCAACUAAAAAUCCUCCAGGAAUCUCACCGCCACCCCUACAUCCCGGAGUUGAUGGAGGUUGAGCUGCAGGACGAGCCCAGAUCACAGAUUCUCCUCCCCUCCUCCCAUCCGUGCCCACCCAGCGCCUCCCCUGCCCCUCCCUGCUCUGCGUCCCUCCAGCCCCAGGCCCCACUCCCCACCUCCAGCAGAGUGCAUCUCCCAUCCCUCAUUACGAUGAAGCUGUCACGGACUGCCACAGCCUGCCUUCCUGGGACCUUCAAAGCCGGGAACAGCAUGAAAUAUGCAGCCGCCUUUCCCAGCUCCCACUCCCUGAUCGGCUCCCUCCCUCUAAUUGCUCCUCGAAGAUUAAACUUGGGUAUUACAGCUCUGGCUGAGGACAUCUAACACUUAGUUCUCCAAAAACAGAGUGGAGGCUGCUUCUGCCUC
ensembl:lncRNA